GAAAGCAUCUACGCGUGAAGCCUCCUUCAAGAUUAGAUCUCUCUGAUGAAAAUCAGUAAGGAACGUUGGAGACGACGACGUUGAUAGGCUGGGUGUGGAAGUACAGAAAUGUAUGAAGCUUACCAGUACUAAUGAUCCGAGAGACUUAAGUCU
rnacentral:rRNA from 1 species